rnacentral:rRNA from 1 species
GAUGAACGCUGGCGGCGUGCCUAAUACAUGCGAGUCGAGCGAACAGACGAGGAGCUUGCUCCUCUGACGUUAGCGGCGGACGGGUGAGUAACACGUGGAUAACCUACCUAUAAGACUGGGAUAACUUCGGGAAACCGGAGCUAAUACCGGAUAAUAUAUUGAACCGCAUGGUUCAAUAGUGGAAGACGGUUUUGCUGUCACUUAUAGAUGGAUCCGCGCCGCAUUAGCUAGUUGGUAAGGUAACGGCUUACCAAGGCAACGAUGCGUAGCCGACCUGAGAGGGUGAUCGGCCACACUGGAACUGAGACACGGUCCAGACUCCUACGGGAGGCAGCAGUAGGGAAUCUUCCGCAAUGGGCGAAAGCCUGACGGAGCAACGCCGCGUGAGUGAUGAAGGUCUUCGGAUCGUAAAACUCUGUUAUUAGGGAAGAACAAAUGUGUAAGUAACUAUGCACGUCUUGACGGUACCUAAUCAGAAAGCCACGGCUAACUACGUG